rnacentral:rRNA from 1 species
UACGGAGGGAGCUAGCGUUGUUCGGAAUUACUGGGCGUAAAGAGCGCGCAGGCGGUCAUUCAAGUCGAGUGUGAAAGCCCCCGGCUCAACUGGGGAGGGUCACUCGAUACUGUUUGACUCGAAGGCGGGAGAGGGAAGUGGAAUUCCCGGUGUAGUGGUGAAAUGCGUAGAUAUCGGGAGGAACACCAGUGGCGAAGGCGACUUCCUGGCCCGUUCUUGACGCUGAGGCGCGAAAGCUAGGGGAGCAAACGGGG